UACGUAGGGUGCAAGCGUUAAUCGGAAUUACUGGGCGUAAAGCGUGCGCAGGCGGUUGUGCAAGACAGAUGUGAAAUCCCCCGGGCUCAACCUGGGAACUGCAUUUGUGACUGCACGGCUGGAGUGCGGCAGAGGGGGGAUGGAAUUCCGCGUGUAGCAGUGAAAUGCGUAGAUAUGCGGAGGAACACCGAUGGCGAAGGCAAUCCCCUGGGCCUGCACUGACGCUCAUGCACGAAAGCGUGGGGAGCAAACAGG
rnacentral:rRNA from 1 species